rnacentral:rRNA from 1 species
GACGAACUUUGGCGGCGUGCUUAACACAUGCAAGUCGAACGGAAAGGCCCUGCUUUUGUGGGGUGCUCGAGUGGCGAACGGGUGAGUAACACGUGAGUAACCUGCCCUUGACUUUGGGAUAACUUCAGGAAACUGGGGCUAAUACCGGAUAGGAGCUCCUGCUGCAUGGUGGGGGUUGGAAAGUUUCGGCGGUUGGGGAUGGACUCGCGGCUUAUCAGCUUGUUGGUGGGGUAGUGGCUUACCAAGGCUUUGACGGGUAGCCGGCCUGAGAGGGUGACCGGCCACAUUGGGACUGAGAUACGGCCCAGACUCCUACGGGAGGCAGCAGUGGGGAAUAUUGCACAAUGGGCGGAAGCCUGAUGCAGCAACGCCGCGUGCGGGAUGACGGCCUUCGGGUUGUAAACCGCUUUCGCCUGUGACGAAGCGUGAGUGACGGUAAUGGGUAAAGAAGCACCGGCUAACUACGUGCCAGCAGCCGCGGUGAUACGUAGGGUGCGAGCGUUGUCCGGAUUUAUUGGGCGUAAAGGGCUCGUAGGUGGUUGAUCGCGUCGGAAGUGUAAUCUUGGGGCUUAACCCUGAGCGUGCUUUCGAUACGGGUUGACUUGAGGAAGGUAGGGGAGAAUGGAAUUCCUGGUGGAGCGGUGGAAUGCGCAGAUAUCAGGAGGAACACCAGUGGCGAAGGCGGUUCUCUGGGCCUUUCCUGACGCUGAGGAGCGAAAGCGUGGGGAGCGAACAGGCUUAGAUACCCUGGUAGUCCACGCUGUAAACGGUGGGUACUAGGUGUGGGGUCCAUUCCACGGGUUCCGUGCCGUAGCUAACGCUUUAAGUACCCUGCCUGGGGAGUACGGCCGCAAGGCUAAAACUCAAAGGAAUUGACGGGGCCCCGCACAAGCGGCGGAGCAUGCGGAUUAAUUCGAUGCAACGCGUAGAACCUUACCUGGGUUUGACAUGGAUCGGGAGUGCUCAGAGAUGGGUGUGCCUCUUUUGGGGUCGGUUCACAGGUGGUGCAUGGCUGUCGUCAGCUCGUGUCGUGAGAUGUUGGGUUAAGUCCCGCAACGAGCGCAACCCUUGUUCACUGUUGCCAGCACGUUAUGGUGGGGACUCAGUGGAGACCGCCGGGGUCAACUCGGAGGAAGGUGGGGAUGACGUCAAGUCAUCAUGCCCCUUAUGUCCAGGGCUUCACGCAUGCUACAAUGGCUGGUACAGAGAGUGGCGAGCCUGUGAGGGUGAGCGAAUCUCGGAAAGCCGGUCUCAGUUCGGAUUGGGGUCUGCAACUCGACCUCAUGAAGUCGGAGUCGCUAGUAAUCGCAGAUCAGCAACGCUGCGGUGAAUACGUUCCCGGGGCU